AAAAUUUUGAUUUGCCUCUCAUUCUCAAUUUUAGAAUUGGACGCCAUCUCCCCAUCACCCACCCCAAUCGGAAUUCUCUCCCAUAACCUCUAUCGAUCGUUUCCUUUGCUCGAUCCCAAUCCGCCAUACCCCAAACGGAAGGUCGUCUCCUCCCAUCGAUUUCUACCAUUUUACCACUGAUGGACCGCGGCAGAGUGACCGACGAACCACCACUGCACCAUUAGAUGAUCUAUCAUAACUGCUUGGUUCCUUAUUGCUCGACUCCUCAUCGCUUCAAUCAUAACUUCAUCCCUGAGCAGGAUGUGAAACAUCAUUUUCUGGAACAGGCAUUGGUACACUGCUAGACAAGUGAAAUUCCAAAGCCACUUGGUUGCAUUUUUUUUUAAAUGAGAUGAUUGUUGUGUUUUAGUAAUAAUGUAAAUGUCACAACUCCCAGACGUAUGAUGAACCCAAAUAGGUCAAAAUGUCUAGGCAAAACAUCUUUUGUUGUGCUCAACAGUUAAUAUUAAAGAGACCAGAUCAUAUGUUAGUUAACUUAUAUAGAUUAUUAUUGAGCGCGACCGUGUUCAAGUUCCUGUUGUUGGUGACUCGGGAAAAAAAAGAAGCUCAAAUAGAAAACAACACCACUGCUAGUAAGAUAGCAAUCCAGGCAAGCGCCAAAGAAAGAAGGGGUACAAGCAAGCACAAGAAUCAAAGCAGGGCAGGAUCGAAGAACUUAGAUAACAAGCAAGCGAGAAGGACUCCCUCAAAGGCAAGGUCUUUCGUGCCUCGAUGAGCAUUGUGCCUUUUUUCGAUUUUUUAUAUGCUACUUGAAUAACCUGAAUAAAAUUUGCAUAUUUUUGUGUAGUAAUUCUGAAACAAUUUGAAUAACUUUUUAGGAAGUAUGGGGAGAUUCGGGUUUUGCAAAUAGAAUCUUCAAUACUGAAUUUCUUGAAGUUUGAAUUGAUAACACCAACUGUUAGAUGUUUCUUGAUAAGAUUUGUGUGUGCUGCUCAUGUGAUACGUGAUUCCGGAAAGGCAUUUGAUAUCAUUUAGAUUAAACAUUGAGCAUGAGAAAAACUAGUUGCUAGAAAUGCGCAAUGAGAUUGAAGAGGAUCAUGAAACUAAAACAAGCCAAGCUCGAAGCUAUGCAAAAUAUAUAUAUUGAGAGCCAACAACAAAACUUGGAAGCUAUGAUGCAUUAUGUUACACAAAGUGCUAGUUAGAGAUCGAGAAGAGUAGAAUGUUUCAUUUCUCUUUAUUAUUGUAAUAAUCUACAUCUUGUGUUGACUAUAUUGUUACUUGAGUUUGGAUAACCAUGUAAAGUACACCAUUUUACUAUCAAUAAUAUGUGUUUUUUUUUUUUUU